GACGAACGCUGGCGGCGUGCUUAACACAUGCAAGUCGAGCGAGGCUCCAUCUUCGGGUGGAUGCCCUAGCGGCGAACGGGUGAGUAACACGUGGGCAACCUGCCCUCAGCUCUGGGAUAACUCCAAGAAAUUGGUGCUAAUACCGGAUAUGACUACUGGCCGCAUGGUCUGGUGGUGGAAAGAUUUAUCGGCUGAGGAUGGGCCCGCGGCCUAUCAGCUUGUUGGUGGGGUGAUGGCCCACCAAGGCGACGACGGGUAGCCGGCCUGAGAGGGUGACCGGCCACACUGGGACUGAGACACGGCCCAGACUCCUACGGGAGGCAGCAGUGGGGAAUAUUGCGCAAUGGGCGGAAGCCUGACGCAGCGACGCCGCGUGAGGGAUGACGGCCUUCGGGUUGUAAACCUCUUUCAGCAGGGACGAAGCGAAAGUGACGGUACCUGCAGAAGAAGCACCGGCCAACUACGUGCCAGCCGCCGCCGUAAGAC
rnacentral:rRNA from 1 species